rnacentral:misc_RNA from 1 species
GUGAAUCAUCGAAUCUUUGAACGCAAAUUGCACUCUCUGGUAUUCUGGAGAGCAUGCCUGUUUGAGGGUCAGUUUAACUAACAAUCGGUGUGGUUGCUGGCUUUCGUGGUGACGCACCGGCUCUGGGUCGUAUUGGCUUUGGCUAAGUGGCCUAAACAUUUGCAUGAUUUUUUUCGAACGUAUUUAACGG